UCUGCCCCUAUAGGCAUGGCCGGUAAGCUGCUGUAUCACAUGUGCGUCAGUAGGUGGCAGUCAGGAGAGAGGCUGUGUCUAUGCACACUGGUCUGACCUGUGAACGUCUGAAUGAUUAGCAGCCUAACAUU